rnacentral:lncRNA from 1 species
UUUCUUUGUUUUUUUUCUUACAUUCAAUUUUUAGAUUAUUGUAGUCAACUAGGUGCACAUUGCUUGUAGUCAACACACCGAUAUACCAAUCAUCAAGUUUUAUUUUUUCAUAGUUUGUAGUCAACACACCGAUUCAAAUAACAGCCAAACUCAGUUUAUUACAAUAUUCCACACAAUCACAAUAUACACCAUACAUUAUUUCACCAAUCACAAUAUAGCACUCUACAGGUAAAACUCUCAACAAUAUAGCACUCUAUAUCAGGGGCCAGCCAAGCCUACUACCAUGCAUGAGGCCACAACCAGCCCAAUAUUAUCAGCACCGUUGGAGCCCUGACCAACGUCCAAGCUUUAUCAAGCUCCCUGCAAAUUGCAUUUAGUGGCAAAGCAUCAAUAGAUGAAGUUGCAAAAUGAAUAUCUUAGGGGAAGCUACACUUGGCAUAUACACGGGCAGAGUUGGGUUUAAGUAACCAAGUCAUGUUUAAAAGAGUUAACUGAAGGAGUACAAUUAGUGCGUAACCUGGAAAACAUAUAGCUAGAGGCAUAGAGUAUCAACAACAGCAAUACAUCUAGAGGCUUAGAGCAUUAGAGCAUCAACAACAGCAGUAUAGCUAAAGGCCUAGAGCAUCAACAGCAGCAGUACAGCUAGAUUCUAGAGUAGUAGAGCAUCAACAGCAGCAGUGCAGCUAGAGGCCUAGCGCUUUUCUUCCCGCACAUGACCAAGGCGAGGCGUUGAGCCAGCGCCUCUUGCUUCAGCGCGCAUAAUCGGCCUAUGAAGCGCGCCUUCUUGAACUUUGGCAACACAUGCUUGCAUAAACUCAUGGAAGGAAGGUGACAGCAUUUCAGAGUAAUCCAAUUCAAAAUCAGAAGGUGUGUUUUCUACUCAAUAUUAACAGGGAUGCGUGUACCUCUAUGCUUUGGCAUCUCAGUCGGAGGGGGCAAAAAAUAGGCCAGCAAAGUGAAGCCAUCUCUUGUUGCUUCAUGCAAAGCUAUAGCCAGCCAGGAAGCAGCAGCACCAAGUUUCAUGUGAUGGCGCAGUGGAACCAGCAAAAUAUAUUGUCCUGCAGAGGCAUUCUUAUCACCAUACAAUUAUCACAACUAGUAAUUGCAAGAACAAGAAAGCUUAAACAAAGGUUAAAGCUCGGUAACAACAGCAGCAGGUCAAUAACAACAGCAUCAAGUCCUGGGAGUGCUUUAAUUUAGUCCAUUUUUUAUCAACAACUUAUCCUAACGACGACAUGCUAUCGAACUUUGGAAAAUACAGUAUGAAUAUGACAGCAAUAGCAGCAAGUCCUAC